rnacentral:rRNA from 2 species
AAAUUGAAGAGUUUGAUCAUGGCUCAGAUUGAACGCUGGCGGCAGGCCUAACACAUGCAAGUCGAACGGUAACAGGAAGCAGCUUGCUGCUUUGCUGACGAGUGGCGGACGGGUGAGUAAUGUCUGGGAAACUGCCUGAUGGAGGGGGAUAACUACUGGAAACGGUGGCUAAUACCGCAUAACGUCGCAAGACCAAAGAGGGGGACCUUCGGGCCUCUUGCCAUCAGAUGUGCCCAGAUGGGAUUAGCUUGUUGGUGAGGUAACGGCUCACCAAGGCGACGAUCCCUAGCUGGUCUGAGAGGAUGACCAGCCACACUGGAACUGAGACACGGUCCAGACUCCUACGGGAGGCAGCAGUGGGGAAUAUUGCACAAUGGGCGCAAGCCUGAUGCAGCCAUGCC